AUUGAACGCUGGCGGCAGGCUUAACACAUGCAAGUCGAGCGGGGGAGGUUGCUUCGGUAACUGACCUAGCGGCGGACGGGUGAGUAAUGCUUAGGAAUCUGCCUAUUAGUGGGGGACAACAUUCCGAAAGGGAUGCUAAUACCGCAUACGCCCUACGGGGGAAAGCAGGGGAUCUUCGGACCUUGCGCUAAUAGAUGAGCCUAAGUCGGAUUAGCUAGUUGGUGGGGUAAAGGCCUACCAAGGCGACGAUCUGUGGCGGGUCUGAGAGGAUGAUCCGCCACACUGGGACUGAGACACGGCCCAGACUCCUACGGGAGGCAGCAGUGGGGGAUAUUGGACAAUGGGCGGAAGCCUGAUCCAGCCAUGCCGCGUGUGUGAAGAAGGCCUUUUGGUUGUAAAGCACUUUAAGCGAGGAGGAGGCUCUUAAGGUUAAUACCCUUGAUGAGUGGACGUUACUCGCAGAAUAAGCACCGGCUAACUCUGUGCCAGCCGCCGCCGUAAUAC
rnacentral:rRNA from 1 species